AAUUUUCAAUUCAGGGCCAAGUUCAACCCUGCUUCAGCUAGCAGAGUUAAAUUUCAACCCCAGGUUGGACUUCGCCUUGGGUUAAAAAUUUUAUCAUGUAAUCGUUUCAACAGCAGGGCUGAAAUUAUUCAUAAGUUACUCAAGCAUUUGAUGAGGUGGUUUUUGUUUUCACUUCCAGGAAUGUAUAGUAUUUCAACCCUGGGGAUGAGAUUGUCCAUGUAAUCGCAAAAUAUUCAACCCAGUUAUGUAAACUGUGGGGCAGGGCUGUACUGAAUGGUGGCAGAUUACCAUAAUUAAAUCACUUCUAUUUCGACCAGCCAAGAAAGUUUAAUUAAAAACAAUAUACAAUAAUUAUUGUAUAAUAUAUGAUAAAAUUAUUGAAUUAUGGAAACAGUGUUGUGAACUUCUGACAAUCUUUAACAAUUAAGAAGUUUAUCAAGUUUUAUAUGUUAUCGCAUCCCCUUUCUCAAUCACUCAAUGCCUUUCAAUAAUUAAUGCUAUACUUUAAAGAUGCGGUACAGUCCGUAUGUAAACAAAGGCUUUGUUUACAUUUCGGUAUCCAAAAUAUUGAAUUUUAUUUCACAACUAGUUAUAUUUUCAUGAUUCUAGAAAUUAUCAAGAGACAACAAUCAAGCUUUGCAAGAACAUAAAAUGAAAUAAAAACCUAAAUAAACUGUUUGUAAAUAAAAAGAGGGCUCCUUUGUGCACAUGCACAGAUUGGACUGUACCGCAUCUUUACAGUAAUAGUAAUAAAGUCUCUGGUGUAGGAAAAUGCUCCGACUGUUAAAAAUAAAGAAAAACUAUAUUUUCCGUACAGUUUCUGUGCAGAGCUCGAGGGUUGAACUUCACGAAAAAUCACAGCAUUUUCCAACAAUGCCGACAUUUUGCUGGUGUAGUGUUUUAUAAAAAUCCGAUCAAAUAUGCUCAGGAAUAUAUUUGCUGCUUUAUAGUUCUCACAAUUUUAUAGCUGCUCACACAAACGAGGAAUCAAGCCAUAUAAAAACAUUCUAAAAUUGUUCCUUGGACAGAAUAUUGUGUAAAGUGGCCAUGCAAAGCAUCGAACAAAGCAUCAGUAGAGGAAACAGUAGCCAAACUGACCUGAAUCGAUGUAAUAUAAUCAAACCACGUCCUCUAAUAGUCAACGCAGCACGAGUUUUGUCUCUCCCCUUUAUAGACUUGCACACUAUCUCUCACUGACUAAAAGGAAAAACCCUCUCGCCAUCAAUUUCUUGUAUAGCUUCGGUGAAUUCAGCG